UUUUACCCUCUCGAGUAUAUCCUGAUAUCAUAGAACUCCAAGCUGCUGUACUCUUACUCAUUCCCAUUGUACUAAAUACCCGCUCAGCCAUAUUCAUCAACCCACAUUUUGCAUACAUAUUAAUAACAGCAGUCUUGAGCAACAUAUUAGAACCAACGCAACCCAAGUUUUUAUAAACCACAGCAUGAAACUGCUUUCCAAUCCUAGGAUCAUUUAAUUCUGUACAAGCAGAGAACAUUGCUACAAAGGUAAAUGCAUCAGGCUGGAUGCAGGAAUCCUGCAUCUUUCUAAAGAGCCAGAGAGCAGGACAAGGUUCCUUAACUUGAGCAUAUCCAUUUAUCAGGGUAUUAUAUGAUACAAGAUCUCUAGCAAGACUUCCCUCAAAAACUUUGUGGGCAUUGUUUAUAUAUCCAAAAAUUGAAUAAAAAUGGAUUAAAGCAUUCCUUAUAAAGAGAUCAAACUCAAGCCCAAACUUUAUUAUAUGACAAUGAAUUUGACAACCCGAUUUGAAGCUUGACAGCCUUGCACAGGAAUUAAGAACAAAUGGAAAGGUAAAGUUAUUUGGUGAUACGAUCCCCUUGGAAAGCAUGGACGUAUAGAGGACAAGGGCUUCCUGAGGGGAAUCACUACGAGAGUAGCCUCUCAUAAGUGUGUUCCAGAUAAAUAUAUUCGGAUUAUCAAUUUGCGAGAAAAGAAUUCGAGAACGAAAGAGACCAUUUUUACAACCAGNNNNNNNNNNNNNNNNNNNNNNNNNNNNNNNNNNNNNNNNNNNNNNNNNNNNNNNNNNNNNNNNNNNNNNNNNNNNNNNNNNNNNNNNNNNNNNNNNNNNGAUAUUUUCUCUUUUGUAUUUAUUAUCUUUUUUUUUUUUGUACUACUAAUAUAUUUUUUUCAUUUUUUAAUUUAAUAUUAAGAUUAAAAAAGUAUAGAAACCAAUUCUUAACCGAUCACACCAAGUCUUUGAUUGCCAAUGGCAGCCAAAGGCUGAGAGCCCGGCUUGACACUGGCAUUGUAGCCAAACCCUCUAAAGAAAUCAAUAAAAAUAAAAUACGCUGUUUUAUUUUUAUUUUUUUCAUCGAAUAAAUAGGAAUACAAAUUGUAUUAUUAUUUUUAGUAGUCUUUUACAAUAAAAUAAAAAUAAGUAAAUUUCGUAAAUUUACAUUAAUUUUUUCUAUAAGACAAUUUUGUUUAAAAAAAAUUUGUUAUAUUAUUCUUACAAAUUAAAAAAAAAGAAAUAAUAAUACUUACAAUUCUCGCAAGUAUUGUAAGUAUUAUUACUCUGUUUUUAAGAAAAAAUGUUUAAUGUUGUUUCACAAUUGAAAUUUAUUCUUUUGUUUUUCAACGUGGAUGGUUAAUUAAAAAAGAAAAAACGUGGAAGCUUAUUAAGAAAUUAUUAACAAACAUAUGCUAGAAGAAGAGAACAAGAAAAAGAAACCAAAAUAGAUCCAAGUAAUGCCAACCUUUUAACACUGACGUUGAAUAAUAAAUAGAUUAGCAGCCGAGUAGACAAAUAACAAACGUGUGCUUUUACGGGGGAGUAAAAAAAAAAUCAAAAAAAUAAAAAUAGAAAAAGCUUUUAACACAACUUUCAUAGAUUUCCCAAAGGUUAAUAAAUUAAAGUUCUAUGGCCAUCUUGAUCAGCAAUAAGAAAAGUUUGGCAAAACACAACAUUGUUCACGUGAAGGCCGUCAUUGUGUACAAUUUUAGCUGUACAAGCAAGAUUGCCUUGAACAUUACCAAAAAUCCAUGCAAGAGCAGUUUCCCUUCUUGAAAAGAUGGAACCUGAUUGCAUCUCUUACCAUGAUUUCCCUUCUGUAAAUCUCUGACAGAAGCUUGAAGGCCAAAUGACAGUCUCCACAAAUGCGAAGGUUCUUCGUGAUCCUUAUGGUUUCCUUGCUUCUGGAAUUGAUCAAACCGAAUGCCAAUGCUAAUUUCUCACUGUGAUAAGACACAACCGUUUCUUUCUCCUCUUCGUCUACAUCAAAUACUACUUGCACUGUGUUGGGAACAUAACCUGCAGAUUUCAGCUUCAUGGUCAUGUCUUUGAGCAUCAGCUCAAUCUCUUUGGUUUGAGGGUGUGAUUUUUUGCUUGCUAGAAACCGAUGAAGAGUUCCAUUAUGCUCAAUAUAGCUCCACCCAGGUGGCUUUUGGAUGCCAGAGUCAUCCAUCAGUUUCCUCACUUGUCUGGCUUCUUCCCAACGAUAGGUUUCAGCUAGCAUAUUAGACAACAAAACAUAGUGUGCUCCGUGAUCAGGCUCUAGAUCAAGGAGUUUCUGCCCCGCAAUCUCACCUAUUUUUGCAUUUCUGUGCAGCCUGCAAGCAGCCAGUAGAGCUCGCCAUAUUACAGAGUUGGCAUCGUAAGGCAUACUCUGAAUUAAACCAUAGGCUUCAUCCAAGCGACCAUCUCUCGCAAGAAGAUCAACCAUGCAGCCAUAAUGUUCCAUUUGUGGUUUGAUACCGUAAUUUAACAUGGAUUCAAAGAACUGCUUACCCUCUUCAACUAGACCACCAUGACUACAAGCACACAAAACUGUCACAAAUGUGACUCCAUCUGGUUUUAAUCCCAUCAGCUCCAUUUCUCUAAAAACAGCUAUAGACGUCUCACCCAGACCGUGUUGAGCAAGACCAGAAAUAAUGGAGUUGAAUAGAGAAACUGUCUUCAAAUUCUUUGGUAUUUUGUAAAAAACAGAUAGAGCAGUAUCUAUGCUACCACAUUUUGCAUACAUAUCUAUAACAGCUGUAGUUAGAAAAAUAUUCCUACCAAACACAACAUUUUCUAUGUAUUGUUGAUGAAGCCUUUUGCCAAAAUCCAAAGCACCAAGACCAACACAGGCUCUAAGUACGGCAACCAUUGUAACUUCAUCUGGAUGUAUACCCAGUGAUUCCAUCUUUCCAAAAAGUUCAAGUGCUAGACUAAAGCCCCCUACCUGAGAGUAACCACUGAUCAUGGCUGUCCAAGAAACUAGAUCCCUCUGAUCCAUCUGAUCAAAGAGUUGUCUGGCUCUCUCAAUUUUACCCUCUCGAGUAUAUCCUGAUAUCAUAGAACUCCAAGCUGCUGUACUCUUACUCAUUCCCAUUGUACUAAAUACCCGCUCAGCCAUAUUCAUCAACCCACAUUUUGCAUACAUAUUAAUAACAGCAGUCUUGAGCAACAUAUUAGAACCAACGCAACCCAAGUUUUUAUAAACCACAGCAUGAAACUGCUUUCCAAUCCUAGGAUCAUUUAAUUCUGUACAAGCAGAGAACAUUGCUACAAAGGUAAAUGCAUCAGGCUGGAUGCAGGAAUCCUGCAUCUUUCUAAAGAGCCAGAGAGCAGGACAAGGUUCCUUAACUUGAGCAUAUCCAUUUAUCAGGGUAUUAUAUGAUACAAGAUCUCUAGCAAGACUUCCCUCAAAAACUUUGUGGGCAUUGUUUAUAUAUCCAAAAAUUGAAUAAAAAUGGAUUAAAGCAUUCCUUAUAAAG
rnacentral:lncRNA from 1 species